AUAAAGUUUUAUUUUAACUUAAAAAUUUAUUUUUAGUUUAUUUUAUAUGUAAAUUUUUGUAUGAAUUAUUAAUUGUCUAAAAGAUUAUAAAUAUUUUAUUUAUUCGCAGUAAUUAAUAUUAUUUUUUAAAGAAAUUUAGAAAUAGUAAUAUUAAAUAAUAUUGGCAAAAUUUGUGCCAGCAGCCGCGGUUAUACAAAUAAUAUAAAUAAAUUUUAUUAAUGUGAGUUAAAUUUAAUAAUAUAAAAUAAUAAUAAUUUUAUUAGGUGAAAUUUUAAAAUUAUCAUAUUUUAAAAUAAAAUAAUUGUUGAAGCUUGAAAAUUUUAAUUUUAAACUAGGAUUAGAUACCCUAUUAUUUAAUAUGUAUAUUUAUUUAAAAUGUUAGAGUAGUAAUAGCUAUGUUCUUGAAACUUAAAAAAUUUGGCGGUAUUUUAGUCUAUUCAGAGGAACUUGUUUUAUAAUCGAUAAUCCACGAUGGACCUCACUUAAUUUUGUUUUUCAGUUUGUAUACCGCCGUUAUUAGAAUAUUUUAUAAGAAUAAUAAUUUUCAAAAAUUUUAAUAAAAAUUUAUGUCAGGUCAAGGUGCAGCUAAUGAUUAAGUUUAAAUGAGUUACAAUAAAUUUAUUUAAGCGGAAUUAAUUGUGUAAUAAAUUAAUAAAGAUGGAUUUGAUAGUAAAAUUUAAAAGAUAAUAGAUUUGAUUUUAGCUCUAAAAUAUGUACACAUCGCCCGUCGCUCUUAUUAUUAAGAUAAGAUAAGUCGUAACAUAGUAGAUGUACCGGAAGGUGUUUCUAGAAUGA
rnacentral:ncRNA from 1 species